AUUGAACGCUGGCGGCAGGCCUAACACAUGCAAGUCGAACGGUAACAGGAAGCAGCUUGCUGCUUUGCUGACGAGUGGCGGACGGGUGAGUAAUGUCUGGGAAACUGCCUGAUGGAGGGGGAUAACUACUGGAAACGGUAGCUAAUACCGCAUAACGUCGCAAGACCAAAGAGGGGGACCUUCGGGCCUCUUGCCAUCGGAUGUGCCCAGAUGGGAUUAGCUAGUAGGUGGGGUAACGGCUCACCUAGGCGACGAUCCCUAGCUGGUCUGAGAGGAUGACCAGACACACUGGAACUGAGACACGGCCCAGACUCCUACGGGAGGCAGCAGUGGGGAAUAUUGCACAAUGGGCGAAAGCCUGAUGCAGCAAUGCCGCGUGUAUGAAGAAGGCCUUCGGGUUGUAAAGUAAUUUAAGCGGGGAGGAAGGGAGUAAAGUUAAUACCUUUGCUCAUUGACGUUACCCGCAGAAGAAGCACCGGCUAACUCCGUG
rnacentral:rRNA from 1 species